UGGGGAAUUUUGGACAAUGGGCGAAAGCCUGAUCCAGCAAUGCCGCGUGUGUGAAGAAGGCCUUCGGGUUGUAAAGCACUUUUGUCCGGAAAGAAAUCCUCUGGGUUAAUACCUCGGGGGGAGUGACGGUACCGGAAGAAUAAGCACCGGCUAACUACGUGCCAGCAGCCGCGGUAAUACGUAGGGUGCAAGCGUUAAUCGGAAUUACUGGGCGUAAAGCGUGCGCAGGCGGUUUUGUAAGACGGAUGUGAAAUCCCCAGGCUUAACCUGGGAACUGCAUUCGUGACUGCAAGGCUAGAGUAUGGCAGAGGGGGGUAGAAUUCCACGUGUAGCAGUGAAAUGCGUAGAGAUGUGGAGGAAUACCGAUGGCGAAGGCAGCCCCCUGGCAAGUACUGACGCUCAUGCACGAAAGCGUGGGGGAGCAAACAGGAUUAGAUACCCCUGGUAGUCCACGCCCUAAAACGAUGUCAACUAGUUGUUGGGGGAUUCAUUUUCCUUAGUAACGUAGCUAACGCGUGAAGUUGACCGCCUGGGGGAGUACGGUCGCAAGAUU
rnacentral:rRNA from 1 species